GACGAACGCUGGCGGCGUGCUUAACACAUGCAAGUCGAACGGAAAGGCCCUGCUUGCAGGGUACUCGAGUGGCGAACGGGUGAGUAACACGUGGGUGAUCUGCCCUGCACUUCGGGAUAAGCCUGGGAAACUGGGUCUAAUACCGGAUAGGAGCCAUUUUUAGUGUGAUGGUUGGAAAGUUUUUUCGGUGUAGGAUGAGCUCGCGGCCUAUCAGCUUGUUGGUGGGGUAAUGGCCUACCAAGGCGGCGACGGGUAGCCGGCCUGAGAGGGUGGACGGCCACAUUGGGACUGAGAUGCGGCCCAGACUGCGACGGGAGGCAGCAGUGGGGAAUAUUGCACAAUGGGCGCAAGCCGGAUGCAGCGACGCCGCGGGGGGGAGGACGGCCUUCGGGUUGUAAACUCCUUUCGCUAGGGACGAAGCUUUUUGUGACGGUACCUAGAUAAGAAGCACCGGCUAACUACGUG
rnacentral:rRNA from 1 species